rnacentral:lncRNA from 1 species
CACGACCCGUUACACCAAAACUUUGAAAUUGCAAAUAAUUCCAUUGAUUUCACUCCGUCACAAGAAUCUAGCAUCCAUGACACAGUGAUGGAACACGUGUCUUUUAAAAUUAAGAAAAAAAAUUGGGAGGGAAAGUUUGUUGAGCUUCAUUCUCUUUUGAGAACGCGAAAAGCAAUGGAAGAGGUGGACGAGGGCGAUUUGAAAUUAAAAAGGGGGAAAAUUUGCAUUGAAAAAAGAUCGUCGAGUGUUUAUUUGUCCAUAAAUGAAUGGACUUCAGCAUUCAUGGUUUUUAUGAGUGUCUACAUUGAGAAAUACAGCACACGGGCACAGGAAUUGUUAAAAUAUAUGCGCGAUGUAAGACUAGCGGCAACGAGGUCAGAAAACUGGGCCACCUAUGACGAGCAAUUUAGGCUAAAAAUAGAAAAGAAUCCAAAUUCAUCUUGGGGAAAUAUACACGGUGAAUAUUGGCUAUUACACAUCACAUCUCCCAUAGUACAAAACAGUGUGUCGGUGCAAUCAUAGGGUUAUAGAAC